AACGAACGCUGGCGGCAGGCUUAACACAUGCAAGUCGAGCGCCCCGCAAGGGGAGCGGCAGACGGGUGAGUAACGCGUGGGAAUCUACCCAUCUCUACGGAAUAACGCAUGGAAACGUGUGCUAAUACCGUAUACGUCCUUCGGGAGAAAGAUUUAUCGGAGAUGGAUGAGCCCGCGUUGGAUUAGCUAGUUGGUGGGGUAAAGGCCUACCAAGGGGACGAUCCAUAGCUGGUCUGAGAGGAUGAUCAGCCACACUGGGACUGAGACACGGCCCAGACUCCUACGGGAGGCAGCAGUGGGGAAUAUUGGACAAUGGGCGCAAGCAUGAUCCAGCCAUGCCGCGUGAGUGAUGAAGGCCCUAGGGUUGUAAAGCUCUUUCACCGGUGAAGAUAAUGACGGUAACCGGAGAAGAAGCCCCGGCUAACUUCGUGCCAGCAGCCGCGGUAACAC
rnacentral:rRNA from 1 species